rnacentral:rRNA from 1 species
GCUCAGGAUGAACGCUAGCGGGAGGCCUAACACAUGCAAGCCGAGCGGUAUUUGUUCUUCGGAACAGAGAGAGCGGCGUACGGGUGCGGAACACGUGUGCAACCUGCCUUUAUCAGGGGGAUAGCCUUUCGAAAGGAAGAUUAAUACCCCAUAAUAUAUUUUACGGCAUCGUGAAAUAUUGAAAACUCCGGUGGAUAGAGAUGGGCACGCGCAAGAUUAGAUAGUUGGUAGGGUAACGGCCUACCAAGUCGAUGAUCUUUAGGGGGCCUGAGAGGGUGAUCCCCCACACUGGUACUGAGACACGGACCAGACUCCUACGGGAGGCAGCAGUGAGGAAUAUUGGACAAUGGGUGAGAGCCUGAUCCAGCCAUCCCGCGUGAAGGACGACGGCCCUAUGGGUUGUAAACUUCUUUUGUAUAGGGAUAAACCUUUCCACGUGUGGAAAGCUGAAGGUACUAUACGAAUAAGCACCGGCUAACUCCGUGCCAGCAGCCGCGGUAAUACGGAGGGUGCAAGCGUUAUCCCGGAUUUAUUGGGUUUAAAGGGUCCGUAGCGGAUCUGUAAGUCAGUGGUGAAAUCUCAUAGCUUACUAUGAAACUGCCAUUGAUACUGCA